CACCGCGGUUAUACGAAAGACUCUAGUUGAUAGAUACGGCGUAAAGGGUGGUUAAGGGAAUUUAAAAAUAAAGCUAAAGACCUUCUAAGCCGUUAUACGCACCCUGAAGGUACGAAACCCAACUACGAAAGUAGCUUUAAAUAAUGAUCACCUGACCCCACGAAAGCUAAGAAA
rnacentral:rRNA from 1 species